ACCUCGGAUCAGGUAGGGAUACCCGCUGAACUUAAGCAUAUCAAUAAGCGGAGGAAAAGAAACCAACAGGGAUUGCCCCAGUAACGGCGAGUGAAGCGGCAAGAGCUCAAAUUUGAAAGCUGGCUCCUUCGGGGUCCGCAUUGUAAUUUGCAGAGGAUGCUUCGGGAGCGGUCCCCAUCUAAGUGCCCUGGAACGGGCUGUCAUAGAGGGUGAGAAUCCCGUAUGGGAUGGGGUGUCCGCGCCCGUGUGAAGCUCCUUCGACGAGUCGAGUUGUUUGGGAAUGCAGCUCUAAAUGGGUGGUAAAUUUCAUCUAAAGCUAAAUAUUGGCCGGAGACCGAUAGCGCACAAGUAGAGUGAUCGAAAGAUGAAAAGCACUUUGAAAAGAGAGUUAAAAAGCACGUGAAAUUGUUGAAAGGGAAGCGUUUGCGACCAGACUCGCCUACGGGGUUCAGCCAGCCUUCGGGCUGGUGUACUUCCCCGUGGGCGGGCCAGCGUCGGUUUGGGCGGCCGGUC
rnacentral:rRNA from 1 species